AUUAGAUUAAAAACCAAUGCCCUUCGGGGCUCUCUGGUGAUUCAUGAUAACUUCUCGAAUCGCAUGCCCUUGCGCCGGCGAUGGUUCAUUCAAAUUUCUUCCCUAUCGACUUUCGAUGUUUGGGUAUUGGCCAAACAUGGUUGCAACGGGUAACGGAGGGUUAGGGCUCGACCCCGGAGGAGGAGCCUGAGAAACGGCUACUACAUCCAAGGAAGGCAGCAGGCGCGCAAAUUACCCAAUCCCGACUCGGGGAGGUAGUGACAAUAAAUACUGAUACAGGGUUCUUUCGGAUCUUGUAAUUGGAAUGAGUACAAUUUAAAUCCCUUAACGAGGAACAAUUGGAGGGCAAGUCUGGUGCCAGCAGCCGCGGUAAUUCCAGCUCCAAUAGCGUAUAUUAAAGUUGUUGUGGUUAAAAAGCUCGUAGUUGAACCUUGGGCCUGGCUGGCCGGUCCGCCUCACCGCGUGUACUGGUCCGGCCGGGCCUUUCCCUCUGUGGAACCCUAUGCCCUUCACUGGG
rnacentral:rRNA from 1 species